CAAGUGCUCUGCAAGUGUGUUGAGUCAGCAGAAUCUAUACUCCACUUUCCUAUGAAAAUCCUUCAGUUUGUGUAUGACUAUGUAUAGCUAUUUUUCACCUUGUUUGUUUUAAGAAAAUCACAGAGGCGAAAAGUAAAGGAAGAAGAAGUCAAAAUGGAGAAAUGAGGAAAAAGAAUGGCUUUCCAGGGAAGGAGAGAAGCCAACAUGGAUACAGACAAAGAGGAAGAUGAUCCUGGUUCCACGUGGUUUUAAACAACCACAAGUAGCCAAGAUUUUCACAAGGUUAGAAUAAUUGGGUUAAAGCUUUAUCUUUAACAAUUGGCUCUGAAA